GGCAGCCUGUGUGCGUGGUGACAGUCCAUGUUAAGUGUUGCUGUUCGCCUGUGUCCUGCAGUCUGACAGCAGUGCUCACACAAUGCCUGCAGCCACAGAGAAACUGGAGGUCAUAGUACUGGUCUAGUGACGUCUCCAAGACAACGCCACCACUGGCCAGCCUCCAUACUCUCCCACAUGG
ensembl:snoRNA SNORA23 small nucleolar RNA, H/ACA box 23